UGUUAUGUUUUUCUUCCGGAAAAUAAGCAUUGUGGCAUACUGCAAUACAGAUUUAUUUUUUCAAGAUUCAGUUCUGCACCAGCAACUAUAUUAGUGACUUGCGCAUACUCAUAGGCAUCGACGAGACGCUGGUCGUGGGUACCUUAGGGCGGAAAUUUCUAAUUCGUUAAUCGUUCGGUUCCACACGGACAAACAAGGAAACGUAUGUUUCGAGAUGGUUCCAUUAUCAUUAAAAAAUAGUAGCUGUUGUACGAGCCAAGGAAUAGUGCCGGGAGCUGGAUAUACGAAAGGGCAAGCGAAAGGGAAUAGUUUCAGGGCCAAGAGGCGUCGCAUCGAGGCGAAAAUGCAGUUCGUUCAUCCGCUGCGUAGGAAAUAGGAUGCGGAUCUCAGAGACAGAGGAUGGAUGGACAGAGGAUAUUUUUUUCGCUAAGAAUCAGGAAAGAAGCUUUGGUGCUACAUGUGCAUAGGACAUACUGUAUUUGCACCACCAAUAUUACUGAGUUAAACGAUGAUCGAAACGAUCAUUCAUGUCGAACGAGAUAACUUGUAGCAUUCCGCCCCCCAAUACUUGGUCCGCCGUGUCGGUAACAGAAAGCUUCAAGUCGAUACUAUCCGACUUUCCAAUUCCCUUGGAAAUUCUUUCGGGUAUUCCUCCGGGAAUUACUUCGGGAAUUCCUCCGUAAAAUCCUUCGGGAAUUCCUCCGGGAAGUCUUCGGGAAUUUCAAAAUUUCGGGGCUUCCUAAUUUUUUCAAGGAUUUCUUUCGAUUCUAAGAAUCAGGAAAGAAGCUUUGAUGCAACAUGUGCAUAAGACAUACUUGUAUUUGCACCACCAAUAUUACUGAGUUAAACGAUUAUUCAUGUCGGACGAGAUAACUUGUA